rnacentral:lncRNA from 9 species
GUCUUCCCACCUGCACUUCUUGUGCUGGGUAUUUCACAGUUAAUGGUGAACAGGAAGGAUCUGGAGGCGACCUGGUGCUUUGGGAGGUGGGGUGGAGGGCUCGGCUGGGCGCCUUGCAAUGACGGCAUCCUCUUGAUGCUGAUACAGAAGGAAGGGUCAUAGCCAUGCCAGGACAGUGACAGCAGGGGCAGCUGCCACCGCCCCCUCCCCUGGCACAUGCCACUUGACUCAGUGCCUAAAGAUAACAAAACAGAGCCAUAGGAAAACAGAAGAAUUCCAUUAGCCGGAGCAGUCGUCCUCAGGAAGAGGCACACAGGCUUCAACCUGCCAAAGUUCCCCCAACGUGUGUUCCUUGCCAUGACACCGCUGCAGUCCUUCCUGGUCUUUUGUUAACUGAUCACCUGUCUGGGCAGCAAGAAUUGACAGCUUCAACUGGAAAACUCAUUUAGGUGGAGUUCUGAGCAAGUCUGCUAAUGAUGAACUUCCUUCUUCAGUCCCAUACGACUGGAUACACCUCUGCAUUUAAAGAUAGAAUGAAGGGCCUGUGAAAAAGAGGGAACUCCCCAGACGAACGCAGGGAAGGGGAGAAGGUCAGGCCCCCGCGGGAGGAGCGUGUGUGGUCCUUUCUGCGCAGGAGCAAAGCAAGCCAGGGCUCGAAAAGGUUCUUGACAGAAACCGUCUCCAGUGUUUCCAUUGCCUCAACGCAGCUCGGAGGACUUCUCUGCCCACUGUGGUCUGGCUGCCCCCCCGCUCCCGGCACCCACUCCUCCUGGAAGGGCUGCUCCUGCCAAGGUCGUCAACAACCUCCUUGCUCCAGACCAUGCCCAGCGCGCCUCCUUGGUCCGCACUGUCCUUGGCAUCCUGUCUCCGGGGACCAGCUCCCAGGCUCGGCUCCUGCCUCUGCACCGCCUCCCUCUCCAUCUCUGUUGCAGGCUCUCCUUCCCACCCCCGGCCUUGAACACAGCCCUCCUCUGCUUUUUCCCCAUCACAACGGGGCUAUUUCUCCUGUGUGUCGCAGGCACCGAAUUUCAUUAUGUCACAAGCGGAGCGAUGCCUCUCAUACCCCCACCCAUACCUGCCCAGACCUGAGAGCUGCUGUCCUAUGCUCCCCGCCCAGGAAAGCCACCAUCGUCCACAAGGGGGCUUGUCCCCUCCCCCCCCCCCGUCCCCCACAAAUCGUUGCCCAGAGCUGCCCUUGACCUUUCAGAUCCCCUCACCUCUGCCUCCUUCCAUCCACCCCGGAUGCCACGAUUCCUGCCUGGAUUCCUGGAAGUGCCCCCUCACUAGUCUCCCUUCUCUCCAACCACUUCUCCAAACCACAGACCGAAUGCUCUUUCUAAAAUGAAAAUCUUGGAGUUCCCAUGGUGGCUCAGCAGGUGAAGAACCCAACAUAGUGUCCAUGAGGAUGCGGGUUCGAUUCCUGGCCUCGCUCAGUGGGUUAAGGAGUAGGCAUUGCUGCAAGCUGCAGUGUAGGUGGCAGAUGCUGCUGAGAUGCCAUUGCUGUGGCUGUGGCUAGGCUGGCAGCUGCAGCUCCCACUGACCCCUAGCCUAGGAACUUCCAUAUGCCGCAGGUUCAGCCCUUGAAAGAAAAAAUAAAAUAAUAAAAUAAAAUAAAAUCUGUUCACACAUUACUCUUCUGCUUACUGCCUUCAGUGGCUUCCCACUGCUCCCAGGACUAAGCAAACUCCCGCCAGGGUUUUCAAGCCUUUUGUAGUCCAGCCCCCUCCCUCCUGUUGUCAUGCUCCUGUCAGGCACUAGAGCCACCCGCCCUGCCCAUUUUCUCUUGCUUCCAGACCUACCCCAUGACCCCUCUGUUUUCCUGCCCAACCCACACCCCCGGGCCUGGCCUUUCCUGGCUCCCUCCUGUGCCAUCUUCAGGUGGCUGCAAGUGACUUCGCACCGCUUGCCUUUCCCAGGAAGCCUUCUCUGACUUCCGGGCCAGGAUUGGUCUCGGGCUGUGUGGGUCCAUAGCACUUUGCCCGUGGGCCCUGCUACAUGCUCAGGUCCUAGAGAGGAGGCAGCAGGACCUUGUCAUUAUGUGUCCACAGCGGCAACCCCAGUGCCCGGUACGUGGAGAAAGAAAUAACGUCUUGUCUGAGUGACGAGCAGAGGGUUGGAGGAAACCAGAUGCCCAUGGGCACUGGAUGCCAGGCUGGGGAGGUCAGGCUUUUUUAUUUUGUAAGGAAAAUGGAGCCCAGGCAGGAUUUGGAACAAGGGAGAGCAGUGACCUGACCCGUGCUUUAGAAAGUUCACUCUGAUGUCACAGGGGUCGGAGGCUUUGCGAAAAGAGAUGACUCAGAACGCAGGAAGCUCUUUUGGCAGGUUCUUGCGGGGGUCUGGGCAGGAGGUGACUAAGCCUGGGCCCAGGCAGCCAGACAGCAGCAGAGGGAGGACCAACAGACACAUAACACAGACUGGGACCAAGAGCAGAUGAGCCUGGGGCUAGGGGAUCCGGGUGACCAGGGAUGGUCUGAGACCUGGUCUCUUUGUCCUCCAAAGUCGCAGGGUCUGGGGCUUCGCGCCUCUGCCCCAAACCCUUGUAUGGAGAAUAUGCAUUUGCAUGGCAUUGGUUUUUUUAUCCCACCCUUUUUAGGGCUGCACCUGCAGCACAUGUAAAUUCCCAGGAUAGGGGUCGAAUGGCAGCUGCAGCUGCCGGCCUACCCCACAGCCACAGCAACGCCAGAUCUGAGCCAUGUCUGCAGCCUACACCACAGCUCACAGCAAUGCCAGAUCCUUAACCUACCAAGCAAGGCCAGGGAUCGAACAUGGUUCCUCACCGAUACUAGCCAGGUUUGUUACUGCUGAGCCACGAUGAGAACUCCAAGCUCACUAUUUCUCAAGCACCUAUGCCCUGUUGGACAGGCUAGUCCAGAUGACAGCAGGAAGGAUUAGGAGUGUUUUCACAGAGUUAAAGUGCACUGGGCCACACCCAGAGAAAACAGCACAGGACACACAGGUCCUUGACAGUGGCAGGUAAGAGUGUGGGCCACCCGCAAUCCAAGCCCAGCUUUGCUAUUUACUGGCACAGGACCUUGAGUGAGUCAUUCAAACUCUCUACACCUCGAUUUUCUCAUCUGUGGAAUGGGUAGAACAAAAGUGACAAUUCCCAGGGCUUUUAUGAGCAUUAGAUGAAAAUAUCAGCAUAAAGCCCUUAGCAUUCAGUGCACUGCAUCCCUUAGCUGGUGUGAUUUCUCAGCCUGCAGCCCUCUUCAGCAGAGCAAAGAAUUCCAGUGGCCAUCUGAUUCCCAUUCCAGGUCUUUAGGGUCUCCCAGGGCUACUUUCUAUUUUUAGUAUUUUUUUUUUAAUUGACCAAACUGUAUUCCUUCUUAAAAAGAGCUUCCAGGAGUUCCCAUUGUGGAUCAAUGAGUUAAGAACCCAGUGUUAUCUCUGUCAGGAUGUGGGUUCGAUCCAUGGACUCACUCAUUGGGUUAAGGAUCUGGCAUUGCCAUGAGCUUCGGUCACAGAUGUGACUCAGAUCUGGUGUUGCCAUGGCUAUGGCCUAGGCUGGCAGCUGCAGCUGAGUUGACCCAUAGCUGGGAACUUCCAUAUGCUGCAGGUGCAGCCCUAAAAAAAAAAAAAUCAAAAAAAAAAGGAAAAAAAGGAAAAGAAAGAAAGGAGUAGAAAGGAAAGAAAAAAGAAAAAAAGAAAAGGAAGAAACCCUAAGCAAAAAUACUAAUAAAAUAUUUUAAAAAGAGCUUUCAAAAUGUAACUGCUCCUAGAAAUGAUUAGUAAUCAUUUUUUGUUGUCUUUUUUUUCCCUUUAUGGCCACGCCCAUGGCAUACGGAAGUUCCCAGGCCAAGGAUUGCAUGCCAGCCACAGCUUCGACCUGAGCCUCUGCAGUCGGAUUCUUAAUGCAGUGUGCCACAAAGCGAAUUCUGUGUCUUUCUUCUUUUUUUUUUUUUACAUUUUGAAAUUUUGUGGUAAAAUACAAGUAUAAAAUUUACCCUUAGUGGGAGUUCCCAUUGUGGCUCUGUGGUAAUGAAUCCAACUAGGAUCCAUGAGGACAUGAGUUCAAUCCUUGGCCCCACUCAGUGGGUUAAGGAUCCAGUGUUGCCAUGAGCUGCAGUGUAGGUCACAGAUGCAACUCGGAUCUGGCGUUGCAGUGGCUGUGGUGUAGGCCAGCAGCUGCAGCUCUGAUUCAACCCCUAGCCUGGGAACUUCCAUAUGCCAUAGGGGCAGCCCUAAAAAGCAAAAAAAAAAAAACCAAAAGAAAGUACCAUUAGUGACAUCAAGUGCAUUACAAUGUUGUCCAACCAUCGUCAUUAUCUAGUUCCAGACAUUGCAUUACUCCAAAGGAAACUCAGUCUCCAUUAGCAAUCACCCCCCCCAUCACCCCCGCCCCAGCCCCUGGCAACCGAGAAUCUGCUCUCCGUCUCUAUGCAUUUGCCUGUUCUGGACAUUUCAUAUUAAAUCGAGUGCUUCUUUUAUUCCUAAGACGAAGUUUUAUUUUCCCUUGGAAGCAGUAGCCUCCGUCUGGCUCUGCCGCUUU